rnacentral:rRNA from 1 species
CAGCUUUUUUUUUUUUUUUUUAGCCCGAGAAGUUUUGGAAGAAGCCGGUGUGGGCGAGCUUCCUUGCGGAAGGGUCAAACAUAAAUCAUUUUGUUUUUUUUCAUUUUAUUUGUCUGAACAGAUUUUUUUAAAUAAAAAUAAAAUACAAAACUUUCAACAACGGAUCUCUUGGUUCUCGCAUCGAUGAAGAACGCAGCGAAAUGCGAUAAGUAGUGUGAAUUGCAGAAUUCAGUGAAUCAUCGAAUCUUUGAACGCACAUUGCGCCUCCUGGUAUUCCGGGAGGCAUGCCUGUCCGAGCGUCAUUAAAAACAAACUCAAGCACUUUUUUUUUUCUGCUUGGUCUUGAGGGAUGAGUAGUUCCUAAACUGCUCACCCAUCGAAUUCCAGUGGCGGAAUUAAGCAACGGUUGUUGUCCCGGUGUGAUAAGUUUUUCACGUCACCGGCCAUCUCGUUACACAUUCUUGCCAAUUGAAACUCCCUCUCUUAAUCAACGACCUCGGAUCAGGUAGGGAUACCCGCUGAACUUAAGCAUAUCAAUAAGCGGAGGAACG